GCUAAGAAAUUUAAGUGCAACAUAUACAUACAAACUCAAGAUACAUUAAGUAUGUGUAGGUGCUUUGUAAUUUUUGCUGUUGUGUUAACCAUCUGUUUCAUAGGGGAAAGAGCCCCUAACAAUCCAGAGUUCCACCAGGAGGUAAGUAAAGUAAAGCCUGACUAAAAGUUGUUACAUCUCAAACAUGUUUUGCUUUUUAAUACUAUCUAUGUAUUUGCUUCUACAAACAUGGCAACUUUUUUGUCUUUUUAUUUUAUAUACAGGAAAUAAGCUUCAUUCAUUCAAAUGCUAAGAGAGCAACAAUACAAUCAAAGGAUCAUUAGACACUCCCCAUCCAUAAAUGAGGACUUAUUAAGAUAGAUGCUAAGGGUACAUAUUGAACUUUCAGAAGGCAUUAAGGCAGUAACAAAACAAAAUCCAAAUCCAAACAACCAAGCUAAAUUCUUAAACAUAGUGUUAUUAUACACAACACAGUCAACAUGACUUAUUUAUUAUGUUUCUUGGAACAUCUAAAACAAACGAAGGAAUAUCAAGUCUCCAACACUAUAUUUCCCUCCUACUUCGGAACUUCGGUUGUUUUGGCGGUCUGCUUUGGAGCUUUAGCAGAAACUCUGCAAUGAAACUCGAGCUUUGGAGCCAAUAUUUCAGCCUCACAUAUUUCAGCCUCACGUGCAGCCAAUAUUUCAGCCUCACGUUCAGCCAAUAUUUCAGCCUCACGUUCAGCAAUGGAAACAAGAAUAUCCUUCUUCAAAUUCUCCUGCUGGUUCAGAGAUUAAUAUUAAAGAACUCAAAUAUACGGAAAGAAACUAAAUUGUGAAACUUGAAUCAAAAGCAUUGGUGAAGGCCACAUAAUAAUAAACUUUGUUAACACAUUUCCCGAAAAAACUUGCCCGAUGUUCAAGUUCUUCAGAGGGAGUAUUGGGCAGAGCCAGGUCAGCAUUCACAUGAUCAAGUAAAAUCUCAUACGCUGCCAGUUCGAAAUCCUGUUGGAUUAAAUAGUAAUAUUAGAGAAACUAAAAUUGUGAAACUAGGAUCAAAAGAAAGCAAUUGCAAAACUUGCCGUGGCUUUGGUUUUUCUCAAACGAAAUAUGCGCCUGGGAGGUUGUGGGCGAUACAGGCCUAAGCGGUGAGAACAGUCUAUGCGGCCCCUAGGCAUUUUUGCGCUUGUGAGAUGUCAAAAGAUUGGGGAGAGAAGAGACUCAGCUGCAUAUAUAAUACGAAAGAAAUAAAUAGUUAGUGAAAUAUGGCUUUCAUCAAAAAAUAGGAAUCAAAAAAAGAAAACAUGAUGGAAAAGAAAAACCUCUGAACCUGAUAUGGUUAUAUCAAACACUAUAACAAAAGAAAAUACAUAGCAGCACAUAAUUCAGUGAAGCAACGGAAAUAGAUAAAGCAAGUGUGUUACUGAAGCAUUGUGGUAUGCAAUUUUAUCGUAUGCAAUUUUAAAACCCUAACCCCCAAAUUAAGAGAAGAAUGUUUGAGCAAUCGGUUCAAGAAUUGGAAAAGGAAAGAGAAGAAUGACAAACGAACGAAAAUUCAAUUCAUACCUGCGACGAUAGGAGAGAAAGAGAGAAUGUCAAAACUUAAAGAGUUUUAAGACCGACCCGACCCCUAUUUUUAACAAGCAAUUUUUUUUUUAUUUUUUUGAGUUUUACUUUUCCCACCCUAUGCAUUUCCUCGCGCGCAUGCAUUGUUAAUGUUUUUUCAGAUUUGUUCGGAUUUUAAAAUACGGAACGAUCAUUCCUCUUGCCCUAGCAGAUGUGGCUGUUGCCUUCUUCGAGUUUGCUCUGCAUGUCGUUGCCCAACAGUAGAGGGGUGACUAGGUCCCGACGAGCCUUGGAAGCAUUCAUAUAGGUACAUUCGGUGGUUCUACCGUGUAUCCCAUCCUCUUAUCGUCAACCCUCCUCCAGAGCCUGACAUUCGAUGGUCCUCUUGGAGCUUGGUAAAGCCUAGGAAUAUUCUCACGGAUUUGUAGGAACAAAACAAAGAAAGUCCACAGGAGUAUCAAUAGUGUCUUAUUUUAUGACCUUUUUUUUAUUUUUUUAUUUUAUAUUUGUAGUAUUUUUAUGACAUUUUGUUGAAUUUGGAUGUAAUACAUUUACUUUUGCACGGUUGCGCCUCUUUAUGACAUUUGAGUUAAUUUUCGUUAAAAUUGUGUUUCUAAAUUAUGAAUGAAUGAAUGAAUGCAUGUUCUUUAAAUUAUGAGUUUUGGUUGAAAGAAUGAAUGGUUGUUCCUAUGUAUGAACGAACGAAGGAACGAAGCUAAACAGGGAACAAGGCAGUAGCUAUUGCCUGUAUGUCCUAGUGCGCACAAAACUAGCGUGAGUUAACUCACGUUCUUUUUUGCACAAGUGUAACUUUCAUACGUUGGGCCAUUUUGACUAUUUCACUUGGGAAUGAGCAAAUAUGUUUGGGUAAAACGCAGAAUUCAAAUUUUUUUUAGGUUAUCUCUUGUUGAUAUAUUUGUUUGGAGGCUAUCUCUAUCUCUAUCUAUAUAUAUAUUAUAAAGAAAUGCCUUCAAAUAUUAUAAUACCUCAGUUACUUUUUAAAUAUUUUUUUUAGAAAAUUAACACAAAAAUAGAGAUGCGUUUUUUUGUCAUUUUCUUCCUAUUUUACCAUUAUUUUAAUCCACUAAUAAAUUUCUAUUUUCUGAACGUAUGUUGGAGUUCUACUGCUUAGCAAGUUGGAAUUUGCCCCAUUCAGGGGCAAGACAAUUGUUGUAGUUGGAAGGUGCAUGUAAUGUAAUGUAAUUGUUGACAUACACUUUUGUUUUAUUUAUUUUAGUAGAGUUAUGUUGUAGAUCUGAAAUGCUAUUAAUAAAUAUUAUGAAUACUUGUUAUAAUGGAGUUAUAUUGCUUAACUUUAUAUUUUUUUUCGAGUUUUAUAAAUUUUUUAGGUUUUAUUUAGGAUUUUUAGGGUUUAUGUAUAAUUUGCACUUCAAGUGUUUGAUGAAAUGUUUGAAUGAGUUUUUCAUUGAUUGUUUAAUUUUUUUUAUGGUGUAGAUUUGAAACAAUGACUGAUCAGUUUGAUGUUAGCGCACGCUUCAACGGUGGAAGACAUCAGAUGUUCAAGGUUUGAUACAUCAAUGUCACGUUAAAAGAUCUCAAGGAUCAUCUGGAUGAAAUCAAUCAAGGACUCAACCCCAGUGAAAAAAGGAAGGUGAAAUGUAUUUGGUAUAAACGUCCAACGUUGGACUACGGGAGAAUAACGUUUUGUCUGCUAGAAUUGAAGAACGACGAUGACGUGAGAAGCAUGUUCUCAAUUUUUUGGUACAUGGUUCCGCUUAUCAAUGUAACGCCCUAGUUAUUUAAUUAAUUAUUUUAUUAUGUGGAGUAUAUAUAUAUAUAUAUAUUUAUAUAUGAUGUUGGUGAUUUAUGUGGGGUAUAUGCAUGUAUUCAUAUAUAUGUGAUUUUUGGAUGUUUUAUGUGGUGGAUUAUUUUACUAUAUGGUUUAUUUUAUAAUAAUUAAAAUAAGUAUGAAAUAUUAGUUAUUUUGGAGUUUGGGGAGUUAUUUAACAUUUAUUAAAAUUAAAGGGAGUUAAAUGAAAAUAGAAGGGAGUUACAAGUAAUGGGAAGUUAGGAAAAGAGAGGUUAGAAAGCUUUGUACGUAAAACUGGCAAGUUGGGAGAAAAAGAGGAGAAGACCAAGUUAGAGCCAAGAGUGAUUUUGUGCUGCAUUCCUUCUGCAAAAUUAAGGUAAGGGUGAGGUUUUCUUCAGUAAUAUAGUUAUUGAUUUCUGAUUUUGUGUUUAACAGAGUUGUGGUGAGAAUUUGGGAAAUUGGGUUUUUAUGGUAAAAUGAUGAUUUUGAGUUUAUGAGCAUGAUUUUGGAGUUAUAAUUAGUUUCUGGUUGCAUAGAACACUUAGUUAGGUAUCUGUAAACUGAUUUGGGGAGUGAUUGGAAGAAAAAUGGGAUUUUGGGGAAAAACCAGUUUUCUGCCCGUACUGAUGUUCAUCGCUCGCCUCGCGAGCAUUCAUGUCUCGCCUCGCGAGUGAAUAACAUCACUACUCGCCUCGCGAGCAGUCCAACUCGCCAUGGCGAGUAAGCCCAGAUAAAACUUGAUUUUUUUGAAAAGUUGUUAUAAGGUGUUUUGGGGAUGGUUUAAGGUACCUAGAUGAUAAUAAAGAUGAAUGGUGGAAGUUUUAGGUUAAAAAGAUGAAUAGGAAACUUAGGAAUGGAGUUUGAGUGAGAAAAUGUCACUUUUCCCGAGAGCACCUAGUUUUCACUCGCCUCUAGUUCGCCUUGAACUCGCCGUGGCGAGCUAGUGUUGUCCGUGAACUCGCCGUGGCGAGCAGAUGUGCUCGCGAGGCGAGCUACCCUGUUCCAGAGUGUUGUUUUGCUAGCUUGGUUAGUAGUGGUUGGUGUUGUUGGUUUUGAGCAUAGUUAUAUAAUUAUGCAUUGUUGUGAUUGAUUGAAUUGCUGGAUUGAUGAUGAUUAAUGAUGAUGAAUGCAUUGUAUGUUUAAGUAUUGAAUCAUACAUGUUGUUUAAGUUGAGUCACAUGGAGUUGCAUUGCAUGGUCAGUUGUAUGUAGAUAUACACAAGUAGGUCCAUUGCAUAUGCAUAAAACAGCGGUGAGGGCUUCGGUCCUGGAGUACUAGUUGCUCAACAGCGGUGAGGGCUUCGGUCCUGAUGAAUGCUUUAACCAUUCAAAAGCGGUGAGGGCCUCGGUCCUGAUUGGUACCACAUGCAUAAUUGCAUCUCAUUAAGAAGUCUAAGAUGGUGUCUUAGCAGUGGUCAUGUCAUUUGCAUGAGUCUUGGUGAAUUGUUGAUGUUGAUGGUAUGAUAUACAUUGAAUACUACUUGUUAAGUGGAUGAUUAUGAUGAUGUUGUUGUGGUUGUGAAUAAUUAUAAUAUUUGCAAGUGAACAUGUUUGAAGUUAUAGGGUGUUAGAUUCAUUUGAUGAUCUUAAUAUCUAUAUUUAUUGUUGUGAAUCUCACCCCUUCUGCUUGAAAAUGUUGCCCUUCCUAUGGGUAACUUGCAGGUGAUCCUGAGUAGUCGGUGGUGGCUCAAGAGUCGUGUCUAGGGCUCUGAUACGUGGGUUGGGAGUCAUUUUAUUAUUUCAUUGUUGUUUUCCCUUCCAUGUAUCAAAUUUUGGAACUUGUUGAUGUGCCCUUUCAUUGGCUAACUUUUGUUGUUUAGGCUUAAUGCCAAGAUGUUGUUGGAGAUUAAAAUAUUGUUGUUGCUAUUGCAAAUGCAAAACUUUCCGCUGCAUUAAUUUGAAGUUAUGACUGUUGUUGAAUUAAAUAGUUUUAUUUUCUAUUUAAGAAUUUUAAUAUGACGUGUAACAUGCCGUUGUGAAAUUACUCUGAUGUAUUUAUGCUAUUUUAUUGCAUUUGGGUAACGGGGUGUUACAAUCAAUAUGUCUGUCAUGUUGCAGAGAUCAACUGAAGAAAUUCUCAACAGUUUGAUUCCGCUAAAAGAUCGUGAUUAGGUAGGGAAUGCACCUUUCAACUACAACAAUUGUCUUACCUCUGAAAUGGAAUAAUUCAAACUUGCUAAACAACAGUUCCCAAGCAUUCACCCGAAAGUUUUAUUGUUCCUUUCACAAUAUUAAAUUUUUGUUUGGUUUUGAUGAAUGUAUUGAAGUGUCGCAGAAUACACAUCAUUCUUUUGACACUUGAAUACCAUCAUCUAAACCAAACUUACAAGAAUUUAAUCUUCUGAAAGGAACAAUAGAACUUCUCGGUGAAUGUUUGUUUAGCAAGUUUGAAUUUACCCAUUUCAAUGGUAAAUAACGCCUUGAAUUUUAAUCCAAGAUAUUACUUAAAAAAAUUAUAUUUCAAUUACAAUUUAAAAAACCUAAAUUUAAUUUCUCGCACACGUACAAUUCGGAGUUCCACCGGGAGGUAAGUAAAGCACUAAAAGUUGUUACAUCUGAAACAUGUUUUGCUUUUACUACUAUCUAUGUAUUUGCUUCUACAAACAUGGCAACUUUUGUCUUUUUAUUUUAUAUCCAGGAGAUAAGCUUCAUUCAUUCAAAUGCUAAGAGAGCAACAAUACAAUCAAAGGAUCAUUAGACACUCCCCAUCCAUAAAUGAGGACUUAUUAAGAUAGAUGCUAAGGGUACAUAUUGAACUUUCAAAAGGCAUUAAGGCAGUAACAAAACAAAAUCCAAAUCCAAACAACCAAGCUAAAUUCUUAAACAUAGUGUUAUUAUACACAACACAGUCAACAUGACUUAUUUAUUAUGUUUCUUGGAACAUCUAAAACAAACCAAGGAAAUAUCAAGUCUCCAACACUAUAUUUCCCUCCUACUUCGGAACUUCGGUUGUUUUGGCUGUCUGCUUUGGAGCUUUAGCAGAAACUCUGCAAUGAAACUCGAGCUUUGGAGCCAAUAUUUCAGCCUCACGUUCAGCAAUGGAAUCAAGAACAUCCUUCUUCAAAUUCUCCUGCUGGUUCAGAGAUUAAUAUUAAAGAACUCAAAUAUACGGAAAGAAACUAAAAUUGUGAAACUUGAAUCAAAAGCAUUGGUGAAGGCCACAUAAUAAUGAACUUUGUUAACACAUUUCCCGAAAAAACUUGCCCAAAGUUCUAGGUCAGAGGGAGUGUUGGGCAGAGCCAGGUCAGCAUUCACUUGAUCAAGUAUAAUCUCCAACGAGGCCAGUUCGAAAUCCUGUUGGAUUAAAUAGUAAUAUUAGAGAAACUAAAAUUGUGAAACUAGGAUCAAAAGAAAGCAAUUGCAAAACUUGCCGUGGCUUUGGUUUUUCUCAUACAAAAUUUGUGCUUGGGAGGUUGUGGGUGAUACAGGCCUAGGCGGUGAGAACAGUCUGAGCGGCCCCAAGGCAUUUUUGCGCUUGUGAGAUGUCAAAAGAUUGGGGAGAGAAGAGACUCAGCUGCAUAUAUAAUACGAAAGAAAUAAAUAGUUAGUGAAAUAUGGCUUUCAUCAAAAAAUAGGAAUCAAAAAAAGAAAACAUGAUGGAAAAGAAAAACCUCUGAACCUGAUAUGGUUAUAUCAAACACUAUAACAAAAGAAAAUACAUAGCAGCACAUAAUUCAGUGAAGCAACGGAAAUAGAUAAAGCAAGUGUGUUACUGAAGCAUUGUGGUAUGCAAUUUUAUCGUAUGCAAUUUUAAAACCCUAACCCCCAAAUUAAGAGAAGAAUGUUUGAGCAAUCGGUUCAAGCAUUGGAAAAGGAAAGAGAAGAAUGACAAACAAACGAAAAUUCAAUUCGUACCUGCGAGGAUCGGAGAGAAAGAGAGAACUUAAUCGUGUAAUCGUCGAGAGAGGAGAGAAAGAGAGAAGAGAAAUUUAUAAAGCAGUUGCAUAAAAUGAUUAAAUCAGAAUACUAGUGACACUUUAAAUUCAAUUCAGUAUAGCUUAAACUUAAAAGCAUUGACAAUCAACUAUCUAAAGUAAAAUACUAAAAUUGUUUGAAUUUUAAUCCAAAAAUUGUUCUUUAUGUUUGACUCAAAAUUUACUCAAGGUCAUAUUCAUCUAGUCAAAACAGACACAAAGUAGCAAACUCUAUUUAUAUACCAGGAUGUCUUAUUAUAUAAGAAAAACCAAACCAUACUUCUAACUAUAAAAUUUUGAUCGAUUAGUCAUUCCAAUAACCAUUAUAUUUUAACUCACCAAGGAUAACUAGAACAAUGGACUAAUUUUAUUCAUGGUUGCACUCAUAAAAAUAUGGCCCGUUUAAAUAGAAUUCAAUAAAAAGAUUUAGAGAAUGGUUCCAGCAUAAAUAAGUGCUAAAAGUUUCAACAGUCUUGUUCUACUAGCAUCGUUUACAUAUAUAUAACUAUAAAAAAGAAAGAUUUUUUACUUGAUUAUGAUAAUUCUCUUAAGGUUUGCUCUAAUCUCUCUAAUAGCUCUUCAUCCUUCUCCGCUAUGGUUCUUCCUUUUUUCUCUAUUCUUCAAAGUGUAGAAUCAGUAAAGUGGUGACUAAAUAGAUUAUCAAUAGUGAACUAACCCUUCCACUAACUCCCGGAAACCGUCCACCUAUGAAAAUAGAAUUGAAAUGAUAAAUUCAACAAAAGAAAUUAAUUAACUUCAUGUAAGAAUCAUCCAACUUACUUUUCUUUACAAAAAUAAGGAAGAACUUGCUUUUCUUUACAAUAUUUAUAUGAGAAUGUUACAAUAUAUUUUUAUCUAGUCUGUCUAUUCUUGAACUACGAAAAUGUAAAUAACAGCAAAACUGUUUGAACAAAACAGACAGCCAAGCACAAGCGCAUCCUAACCCCAACUUGAUGGUACACAAAUAAUUAUAUACUGAGUAAACUCAGUAAUAAAAAGUAAACAAAAUAUGCAUCAAGUAAUCUAUGUGAAGAACAUGUCAGUAAUACUUUACCAACGGUAUCAGAAAAAAAGAGAAGAACAUGACAGUAAUACUUUACUUCCAUCAUUCUGGCUUGGUUAACCUCCAAAUGAUGGACAUCAAACAGCCUAGCUAAACUAUUCCUGUAUAUAAACGGCAAAUCUCUCUCUCUAGCAUAAACCUUUAGUUACCUUGUACUGAUGUCAUUUAAUGUCCUUUAGCAUUAAAAUUUGAGGUACUAAUAACAGAACCAAAUAUACUUAUGAUAGUUGGUAAAAGUCGAAAUUCUAUACAAAGAUGCAAUAAAAGUCCAUUGAACUGGAGUAAGCAUCAAGUUUGUGAGGCUAAGAAAUUUAAGUGCAACAUAUACAUACAAACUCAAGAUACAUUAAGUAUGUGUAGGUGCUUUGUAAUUUUUGCUGUUGUGUUAACCAUCUGUUUCAUAGGGGAAAGAGCCCCUAACAAUCCAGAGUUCCACCAGGAGGUAAGUAAAGUAAAGCCUGACUAAAAGUUGUUACAUCUCAAACAUGUUUUGCUUUUUAAUACUAUCUAUGUAUUUGCUUCUACAAACAUGGCAACUUUUUUGUCUUUUUAUUUUAUAUACAGGAAAUAAGCUUCAUUCAUUCAAAUGCUAAGAGAGCAACAAUACAAUCAAAGGAUCAUUAGACACUCCCCAUCCAUAAAUGAGGACUUAUUAAGAUAGAUGCUAAGGGUACAUAUUGAACUUUCAGAAGGCAUUAAGGCAGUAACAAAACAAAAUCCAAAUCCAAACAACCAAGCUAAAUUCUUAAACAUAGUGUUAUUAUACACAACACAGUCAACAUGACUUAUUUAUUAUGUUUCUUGGAACAUCUAAAACAAACGAAGGAAUAUCAAGUCUCCAACACUAUAUUUCCCUCCUACUUCGGAACUUCAGUUGUUUUGGCUGUCUG
rnacentral:lncRNA from 1 species